rnacentral:rRNA from 1 species
ACACUGGCGGCGAGCCUAAUACAUGCAAGUCGAACGGAAGUUUAAGCAAUUAAACUUUAGUGGCGAACGGGUGAAUAACGCGUAAGCAAUCUGCCCCUAAGACGAGGAUAACAGUUGGAAACGACUGCUAAGACUGGAUAGGAGAUAAGAAGGCAUCUUUUUAUUUUUAAAAGACCUAGCAAUAGGUAUGCUUAGGGAAGAGCUUGCGUCACAUUAGUUAGUUGGUGGGGUAAUGGCCUACCAAGACGAUGAUGUGUAGCCGGGCUGAGAGGUCGAACGGCCACAUUGGGACUGAGACACGGCCCAAACUCCUACGGGAGGCAGCAGUAAGGAAUUUUCGGCAAUGGAGGAAACUCUGACCGAGCAAUGCCGCGUGAACGAUGAAGUAUUUCGGUACGUAAAGUUCUUUUAUUAGGGAAGAAAAGAUGGUGGAAAAACCAUUAUGACGGUACCUAAUGAAUAAGCCCCGGCUAACUAUGUGCCAGCAGCCGCGGUAAUACAUAGGGGGCAAGCGUUAUCCGGAAUUAUUGGGCGUAAAGGGUGCGUAGGCGGUUAAAUAAGUUUAUGGUCUAAGUGCAACGCUCAACGUUGUGAUGCUAUAAAAACUGUUUAGCUAGAGUUGGAUAGAGGCAAGUGGAAUUCCGUGUGUAGUGGUAAAAUGCGUAAAUAUACGGAGGAACACCAGAAGCGAAGGCGGCUUGCUGGGUCUUAACUGACGCUGAGGCACGAAAGCGUGGGGAGCAAACAGGAUUAGAUACCCUGGUAGUCCACGCCCUAAACGAUGAGUACUAAACGUUGGAUAAAACCAGUGUUGAAGUUAACACAUUAAGUACUCCGCCUGAGUAGUACGUACGCAAGUAUGAAACUUAAAGGAAUUGACGGGACUCCGCACAAGCGGUGGAUCAUGUUGUUUAAUUCGAAGGUACCCGAAAAACCUCACCAGGUC